CUGAAUAUCUUCUGCAAAAUAUUUUUUUCUUCAAAACAAAUCAAUUCUUCUACCAAAAACUUGGCUGAGUUUUACUUUCCUUGCAGUUUAGAUUUAGCUCACAUAAUUUUACUGUUAUAUCCAUCAUAAAGUAAAAUCUGUGCAACCAUUUAUCGUUCUAUAAUUCAGAAUGAUUAAUGUUUGUAUUUUUCAUUUAGAAAUGUAUUCAUUUCAUUCAAACACAUCGCAAAACGUUUCAAUACCAUACCUUUGGAAAGCCAUCGCACUUUAUUGUUAAGCAUGAGGUCGGAAUACUGAGUCUCCAUUUUGUUAAAAAUUCUUUAAACUGACGAUGGUAGAUUACUUGAUUACCGCAUUCAUGACGUCAACUAUUUCGGCCGGAGAGGUUUGUAUACAAAGCGCUACUUCGUGUAUUAUGCAGUGAAACGUAAGAA